rnacentral:rRNA from 1 species
UGGGGAAUAUUGGACAAUGGGCGAAAGCCUGAUCCAGCCAUGCCGCGUGUGUGAAGAAGGCCUUUUGGUUGUAAAGCACUUUAAGCGAGGAGGAGGCUACUUAGAUUAAUACUCUAGGAUAGUGGACGUUACUCGCAGAAUAAGCACCGGCUAACUCUGUGCCAGCAGCCGCGGUAAUACAGAGGGUGCGAGCGUUAAUCGGAUUUACUGGGCGUAAAGCGUGCGUAGGCGGCUUCUUAAGUCGGAUGUGAAAUCCCUGAGCUUAACUUAGGAAUUGCAUUCGAUACUGGGAAGCUAGAGUAUGGGAGAGGAUGGUAGAAUUCCAGGUGUAGCGGUGAAAUGCGUAGAGAUCUGGAGGAAUACCGAUGGCGAAGGCAGCCAUCUGGCCUAAUACUGACGCUGAGGUACGAAAGCAUAGGGAGCAAACAGG